rnacentral:rRNA from 1 species
AUUGAACGCUGGCGGCAGGCUUAACACAUGCAAGUCGAGCGGAGAUGAGGUGCUUGCACCUUAUCUUAGCGGCGGACGGGUGAGUAAUGCUUAGGAAUCUGCCUAUUAGUGGGGGACAACAUUCCGAAAGGGAUGCUAAUACCGCAUACGUCCUACGGGAGAAAGCAGGGGAUCUUCGGACCUUGCGCUAAUAGAUGAGCCUAAGUCGGAUUAGCUAGUUGGUGGGGUAAAGGCCUACCAAGGCGACGAUCUGUAGCGGGUCUGAGAGGAUGAUCCGCCACACUUGGACUGAGACACGGCCCAGACUCCUACGGGAGGCAGCAGUGGGGAAUAUUGGACAAUGGGGGGAACCCUGAUCCAGCCAUGCCGCGUGUGUGAAGAAGGCCUUAUGGUUGUAAAGCACUUUAAGCGAGGAGGAGGCUACUGAGACUAAUACUCUUGGAUAGUGGACGCUACUCGCAGAAUAAGCACCGGCUAACUCUGUGCCAGCAGCCGCAGUAA